rnacentral:rRNA from 1 species
UACGUAGGGGGCAAGCGUUGUCCGGAUUUAUUGGGCGUAAAGAGCGUGUAGGCGGCCAGGUAGGUCAGCUGUGAAAACUCGAGGCUCAACCUCGAGACGUCGGUUGAAACCACCUGGCUAGAGUCCGGAAGAGGAGAGUGGAAUUCCUGGUGUAGCGGUGAAAUGCGCAGAUAUCAGGAAGAACACCCGUGGCGAAGGCGGCUCUCUGGAACGGUACUGACGCUGAGACGCGAAAGCGUGGGGAGCGAACAGG